ACAGGGGAUGCUGAAAACCUGGGAUAGAGUAAGCA
rnacentral:ncRNA from 1 species